UCCCUGGUGGUUCAGUGGCUAAAACUCCAUGCUCCCAAUGCAGAGGGCCUGGGUUCAAAUCCUGGUUGGGGAG
rfam:Ovis aries breed Texel chromosome 1, whole genome shotgun sequence.